rnacentral:lncRNA from 1 species
AGCACAGAGGGAGGAAAGACAGCAGAACUGGCAGUCACAGUAGCUCUGAUCAUCCUGGAGCUAAGCUCCUCUCCACAGAAGAGAAGCAGGCAGCAGAGACCAUGAGGCCCCCCUCAGCCCCUCCCCGCAGAGGAUGCAUCCCCUGGCAGGGGCUCCUGCUCACAGUUCACAGGCUCAUGGGCAAAAGGGACUUGCCUUGUCUCAGAAGAGACUUGGGACUUUGGACUUUACUGGUAAUGCUGGAAAGAGGUAAUGGACUGUUGGAAAACCAUUGUUACAUUUUGAAAUGUGAGAAAUGUCAGGCCUCUGAGCCCAAGCCAAGCCAUCGCAUCCCCUGUGACUUGCAUGUAUAUGCCCAGAUGGCCUGAAGUAACUGAAGAAUCACAAAAGAAGUGAAAAGGCCCUGCCCCGCCUUAUCUGAUGACAUUCCACCAUUGUGAUUUGUUCUUGCCCCACCUUAACUGAGUGAUUAACCCUGUGAAUUUCCUUUUCCUGGCUCAGAAGCUCCCCCACUGAGCACCUUGUGACCCCCGCCCCUGCCCACCAGAGAACAACCCCCUUUGACUGUAAUUUUCCAUUACCUUCCCAAAUCCUACAAAACGGCCCCACCCCUAUCUCCCUUUGCUGACUCUCUUUUCGGACUCAGCCCACCUGCACCCAGGUGAAAUAAACAACCAUGUUGCUCACACAAAGCCUGUUUGGUGGUCUCUUCACAUGGACGCGCAUGAAAUUUGGUGCCAUGACUCGGAUCGGGGGACCUCCCUUGGGAGAUCAAUCCCCUGUCCUCCUGUUCUUUGCUCCGUGAGAAAGAUCCACCUACAACCUCAGGUCCUCAGACCGACCAGCCCAAGGAACAUCUCACCAAUUUUAAAUCAGGUAAGCGGUCUCUUCUUACUCUCUUCUCCAACCUCUCUCACUGUCCCUCAACCACUUUCUCCUUUCCACUCUUCAAUCUCUCCCUUCUCUUAAUUUCAAUUCCUUUCAUUUUCUGGGAGAGACAAAGGAGACAUGUUUUAUCCGUGGACCCAAAACUCCGGCGCCGGUCACAGACUGGGAAGGCAGCUUUCCCUUGGUGUUUAAUCAUUGCAGGGACGCCUCUCUGAUUAUUCACCCACGUUUCAAAGGUGUCAGACCACGCAGGGACGCCUGUCUUGGUCCUUCACCCUUAGCGGCAAGUCCCGCUUUUCUGGGGAAGGGGCAAGUACCCCAACCCCUUCUCUCCUUGUCUCUACCCCUUCUCUGCUUUUCUGGGGAAGGGGCAAGUACCCCAACCCUUCUCUCCUUGUCUCUACCCCUUCUCUGCUUUUCCGGGGGUGGGGCAAGUACCCCAACCCCUUCUCUCCUUCUCUCCACCCCUUCUCUGCUUUCCUGGGGCAGGGGCAAGUACCACUCAACCCCUUCUCCUUCACCCUUAGCGGUAAGUCCCGCUUUCCUAGGGGGCAAGAACCCCCCAAUCGCUUAUUUCCAUGCCCCAACCUCUUAUCUCUGCGCCCCAAUCGCUUAUUUCCAUGCCCCAACCUCUUAUCUCUGUGCCCCAAUUGCUUAUUUCCGCGCCCCAACCUGUUAUCUCUGUGCCCCAAUCCCUUACUUCCAUGCCCCAACCUCUUAUGUCUGCACCCCAAUCCCUUAUUUCCAUGCUCCGACCCUUUCUCUGCUUUUCUGGUGGGCAAGAAACCCCCACCCCUUCUCCAUGUCUCUACUCUUUUCUCUGGGCUUGCCUCCUUCACUAUGGGCAAGCUUCCACCUUCCAUUCCUCCUUCUUCUUCCUUAGCCUGUAUUCUUAAGAACUUAAAACCUCUUCAAUUCUCACCUGACCUAAAAUCUAAGCAUCUCAUUUUCUUCUGCAAUGCCGCUUGACCCCAAUACAAACUGGACAGUAGUUCCAAAUAGCCAGAAAACGGCACUUUCAAUUUUUCCAUCCUAUAAGAUCUAAAUAAUUCUUGUCGUAAAAUGGGCAAAUGGUCUGAGGUGCCUGACGUCCAGGCAUUCUUUUACACAUCAGUCCCUUCCUAGUCUCUGUGCCCAGUGCAACUCGUCCCAAAUCUCCCGCCUGUCCCCUCAGUCCCAACCCCAAGCGUCGCUGAGUCUUUCUAAUCUUCCUUUUCUACAGACCCAUCUGACCUCUCCCCUCCUUGCCAGGCCAAGCUAGGUCCCAAUUCUUCCUCAGCCUCCGCUCCUCCACCCUGUAAUCUUUUUAUUGCCUCCCCUCCUCACACCUGGUCCGGCUUACAGUUUCGUUCCGUGACUAGCCCUUCCCCACCUGCCUAGCAAUUUACUCUUAAAAAGGUGGCUGGAGCUAAAGGCAUAGUCAAGGUUAAUGCUCCUUUUUCUUUAUCCCAAAUCAGAUAGCGUUUAGGCUCUUUUUCAUCAAGUAUAAAAAUCCAGCCCAGUUCAUGGCUCGUUUGACAGCAACCCUGAGACGCUUUAUAGCCCUAGACCCUAAAAGGUCAAAAGGCCAUCUUAUUCUCAAUAUACAUUUUAUUACCCAAUCUGCUCCCGACAUUAAAUAAAACUCCAGAAAUUGGAAUCUGGCCCUCAAACCCCACAACAGGACUUAAUUAACCUCACCUUCAAGGUGUGCAAUAACAGAAAAAAGUUGCAAUUCCUUGCCUCCACUGUGAGACAAACCCCAGCCACAUCUCCAGCACACAAGAACUUCCAAACGCCUGAACCAUAGCAACCAGGCGUUCCUCCAGAACCUCCUCCCCCAGGCGCUUGCUACACGUGCCGGAAAUCUGGCCACUGGGCCAAGGAAUGCCCGCAGCCUGGGAUUCCUCCUAAGCCGCGUCCCAUCUGUGUGGGACCCCACUGAAAAUCGGACUGUUCAACUCACCUGGCAGCCACUCCCAGAGCCCAAGGAACUCUGGGCCCAAGGCUCUCUGACUGACUCCUUCUUGGCUUACCGGCUGAAGACUGACGCUGCCUGAUCACCUCAGAAGCCCCGUAGACCAUCACGGACGCCGAGCUUUAGGUAACUCUCACGGUGGAGGGUAAGUCCAUCCCCUUCUUAAUCAAUACGGAGGCUACCCACUCCACAUUACCUUCUUUUCAAGGGCCUGUUUCCCUUGCCUCCAUAACUGUUGUGGGUAUUGACAGCCAGGCUUCUAAACCUCUUAAAACUCCCCAACUCUGGCGCCAACUUAGACACUACUCUUUUAAGCACUCCUUUUUAGUUAUCCCCACCUGCCCAGUUCCCUUAUUAGGCUGAGGCACUUUAAGUAAAUUAUCUGCUUCCCUGACUAUUCCUGGACUACAGCUAUAUCUCAUUGCCGCCCUUCUUCCCAAUCCAAAGCCUCCUUUGCGUCCUCCUCUUGUAUCCCCCCACCUUAACCCACAAGUAUAAGACACCUCUACUCCCUCCUUGGCGACUGAUCAUGCACCCCUUACCAUCUCAUUAAAACCUAAUCACCCUUACCCCACUCAACGCCAAUAUCCCAUCCCACAGCACGCUUUAAAAGGAUUAAAGCCUGUUAUCACUCGCCUGCUACAGCAUGGCCUUUUAAAGCCUAUAAACUCUCCUUACAAUUCCCCCAUUUUACCUGUCCUAAAACCAGACAAGACUUACAAGUUAGUUCAGGAUCUGUGCCUUAUCAACCAAAUUGUUUUGCCUAUCCCCCUUGUGGUGCCCAACCCGAACACUCUUUUGUCCUCAAUACCUUCCUCCACAACUCACUAUUCCGUGCUUGAUCGUAAAGAUGCUUUUUUCACUGUUCCCCUGCACCCCUCGUCCCCGCCUCUCUUUGCUUUCACUUAGACUGACCCUGACACCCAUCAGGCUCAGCAAAUUACCUGGGCUGUCCUGCCGCAAGGCUUCACAGACAGCCCCCAUUACCUCAGUCAAGCCCAAAUUUCAUCCUCAUCUGUUACCUAUCUCGGUAUAAUUCUCACAAAAACACACGUGCUUUCCCUGCUGAUCAUGUCUGAUUAAUCUCCCAAACCUCAAUCCCUUACAAAACAACAACUCCUUUCCUUCCUAGGCAUGGUUAGUGUGGUCAGAAUUCUUACACAAGAGCCAGGACCGCACCCUGUAGCCUUUCUGUCCAAACAACUUGACCUUACUGUUUUAGCCUAGCCCUCAUGUCUGUGUGCAGCGGCUGCCGCUGCUUUAAUACUUUUAGAGGCCCUGAAAAUCACAAACUAUGCUCAACUCACUCUCUACAUUUCUCAACUUCCAAAAUCUAUUUUCUUCCUCAUACCUGACGCAUACACUUUCUGCUCCCCGGCUCCUUCAGCUGUACUCACUCUUUGUUAAGUCCCACAAUUACCACUGUUCCUGGCCCGGACUUCAAUCUGGCCUCCCACAUUAUUCCUGAUACCACACCUGACCCCCAUGACUGUAUCUCUCUGAUCCACCUGCUAUUCACCCCAUUUCCCUGUAUUUCCUUCUUUCCUAUUCCUCACCCUGAUCACGCUUGAUUUAUUGAUGGCAGUUCCACCAGGCCUAAUCGCCACAUACCAGCAAAUGCAGGCUAUGCUAUAGUACAAGCCACUAGCCUGCCUCUCAGAACCUCUCAUUUCCUUUCCAUCGUGGAAAUCUAUCCUCAAGAAAAUAACUUCUCAGUGUUCCAUCUGCUAUUCUACUACUCCUCAGGGAUUAUUCAGGCCCCCUCCCUUCCCUACACAUCAAGCUCGAGAAUUUGCCCCCACCCAGGACUGGCAAAUUAGCUUUACUCAACAUGCCCGAGUCAGGAAACUAAAAUACCUCUUAGUCUAAAUAGACACUUUCACUGAAUAAGUAAAGGCCUUUCCUACAGGGUCUGAGAAGGCCACCACAGUCAUUUCUUCCCUUCUGUCAGACAUAAUUCCUCAGUUUAGCCUUCCCACCUCUAUACAGUCUGAUAGCAGACCAGCCUUUAUUAGUCAAAUCAGCCAAUUAGUUUUUCAGGCUCUUAGUAUUCAGUGAAACCUUUAUAUCCCUUACGGUCCUCCGUCUUCAAGAAAAGUAGAACGGACUAAAGGUCUUUUAAAAACACACCUCACCAAGCUCAGCCACCAACUUAAAAAGGACUGGACAAUACUUUUACCACUUUCACUUCUCAGAAUUCAGGCCUGUCCUCAGAAUGCUACAAGGUACAGCCCAUUUAAGCUCCUGUAUAGAUGCUCCUUUUUAUUAGGCCCCAGUCUCAUUCCAGACACUGGACCAACUUAGACUGUGCCCCCAAGAAAACUUGUCAUCCCUACUAUUUUCUGUCUAGUCAUAUUCCUAUUCUCCAUUCUCAACUACUCACACAUGCCCUGCUCUUGUUCACACUGCCAGUUUACACUGUUUCUCCAAGCCAUCACAGCUGAUAUCUCCUCGUGCUAUCCCCAAACUGCCACUCUUAACUCUUGAAGUAAAUAAAUAAUCUUUGCUGGCAGGACUAUGCUGAAUCUCCUUAGGCACUCUCUAAUCAGAUGUCCUAGGUCCUCCCAAUUCUUAGACCUUUUAUACCUGUUUUUCUCCUUCUUAUUCCAUUUAGUUUUUCAAUUCACACAAAACUGUAUCCAGGCCAUCACCAAUCAUACUAUAUGACAAAUGUUUCUUCUAACAACCCCACAAUAUCACCCCUUACCACAAGAUCUCCUUUCAGCUUAAUCUCUCCCACUCUAGGUUCCCACCCGCCCCUAAUCCCGCUUGAAGCAGCCCUGAGAAACAUCGCCCAUUCUCUCUCCAUACCACCCCCCAAAAAUUUUCGCCACCCCAACACUUCAACACUAUUUUGUUUUAUUUUUCUUAUUAAUAUAAGAAGGCAGGAAUGUCAGUCCUCUGAGCCCAAGCCAAGCCAUCGCAUCCCCUGUGACUUGCACGUAUACGCCCAGAUGGCCUGAAGUUACUGAAGAAUCACAAAAGAAGUGAAAAGGCCCUGCCCCGCCUUAACUGAUGACAUUCCACCAUUGUGAUUUGUUCCUGCCCCACCUUAACUGAGUGAUUAACCCUGUGAAUUUCCUUCUCCUGGCUCAGAAGCUCCCCCACUGAGCACCUUGUGACCCCCGCCCCUGCCCACCAGAGAACAACCCCCUUUGACUGUAAUUUUCCAUUACCUUCCCAAAUCCUAUAAAAUGGCCCCAU